GUGCUUGCUUCAGCAGCACAUAUACUAAAAUUGGAACAACAGAGAAGGUUAGCACAGCCCCUGCACAAAGACUAUACACAAAUUCAAGAAGUGUUACACAUUUUU
ensembl:snRNA U6 U6 spliceosomal RNA